rnacentral:rRNA from 1 species
UACGUAGGGGGCUAGCGUUGUCCGGAAUCAUUGGGCGUAAAGAGCGUGUAGGCGGCCCGGUAAGUCCGCUGUAAAAGUCAAAGGCUCAACCUUUGAAUGUCAGUGGAUACUGCCGGGCUAGAGUCCGGAAGAGGCGAGUGGAACUCCUGGUGUAGCGGUGGAAUGCGCAGAUAUCAGGAAGAACACCGGUGGCGAAGGCGGCUUCCUGGACCGACACUGACGCUGAGGCGCGAAAGCCAGGGGAGCAAACGGG